rnacentral:rRNA from 1 species
GACGAACGCUGGCGGCGUGCUUAACACAUGCAAGUCGAACGGAGAGGCCCUGCUUUUGUGGGGUGCUCGAGUGGCGAACGGGUGAGUAACACGUGAGUAACCUGCCCUUGACUUUGGGAUAACUUCAGGAAACUGGGGCUAAUACCGGAUAGGAGCUCCUGCUGCAUGGUGGGGGUUGGAAAGUUUCGGCGGUUGGGGAUGGACUCGCGGCUUAUCAGCUUGUUGGUGGGGUAGUGGCUUACCAAGGCUUUGACGGGUAGCCGGCCUGAGAGGGUGACCGGCCACAUUGGGACUGGGAUACGGCCCAGACGCCUACGGGAGGCAGCAGUGGGGAAUAUUGCACAAUGGGCGGAAGCCUGAUGCAGCAACGCCGCGUGCGGGAUGACGGCCUUCGGGUUGUAAACCGCUUUCGCCUGUGACGAAGCGUGAGUGACGGUAAUGGGGAAAGAAGCACCGGCUAACUACGU